rnacentral:rRNA from 1 species
GAUGAACGCUGGCGGCGUGCUUAACACAUGCAAGUCGAACGGUGAAGGCGGAGCUUGCUCUGCUGGAUCAGUGGCGAACGGGUGAGUAACACGUGAGCAAUCUGCCCCUGACUCUGGGAUAAGCGCUGGAAACGGCGUCUAAUACUGGAUACGAGCUGCGAAGGCAUCUUCAGCAGCUGGAAAGAACUUCGGUCAGGGAUGAGCUCGCGGCCUAUCAGCUUGUUGGUGAGGUAACGGCUCACCAAGGCGUCGACGGGUAGCCGGCCUGAGAGGGUGACCGGCCACACUGGGACUGAGACACGGCCCAGACUCCUACGGGAGGCAGCAGUGGGGAAUAUUGCACAAUGGGCGAAAGCCUGAUGCAGCAACGCCGCGUGAGGGACGACGGCCUUCGGGGUGUAAACCUCUUUUAGCAGGGAAGAAGCGAAAGUGACGGGACCUGCAGAAAAAACGCCGGCGAACUACGU